AAUAACCCCGGAUACCUCUUUCUACGAGAGUUUCUUGAAGGGAUCAGCUAUUAACUGUAUUCUCAAAUAAGUAAGCUGGAGUUAUCGUUCUUCAUUUAAACGAAAAUGGACCCAGCUAACAAAAUAUGAAGACAUGAAAUUACGUAUAUGAAUAAGCAUAAAGCGCAAUACAGAAAUCGUUGCUCUCUUGACAUUACACAAGUACUUAAUGACAUUACAGUGUAUGCAUGUAAUAACUGUAAUAAAAACAGUUGAUUAACAAUGAGAGAACGUAUUUGCUAACAUUUAACUAGUCUCCAAUAGCCCAAAUCAAGUAAAUGACUACCAGUUCUCUUUUGGCACUUGGCGUUAGAAAAAAUACUUUGAAAAAUUAUCAUGAAGCUAUACAUAAGAUACUAAGGAUUUUGGCAUUUAAAGCAUUAAUUGGUUUACUUAUAUCCAUAUAUAAGUGAUCUAAAUUGCAACAUGUAGCAUGCGUUUGUCAUCAACAAUAAAGCACUUUACCAAAUGCAGUAAUAGUUGUCAUUAAUCAUAAAGCGUUUGAUCAAAUACAAUAAUAGAAUUUUUGCAUAAAUAAUCUUCCAUACAUCAUGGCCCUCUUGUUUGUAUAGUCAGGGAUUUAUUUACAUUGGCUACUUGGUGGUGUUUGUGGUGGCGUUUCUGUGUGUAUGGUGGUCUUUGCGAUGGUGUUUUUGUGUUUGUAGUGGUGUUUCUGUGUUUAUGGUGGUGUUGUUUUGGUUUUUUCAAUGCGGUUGUUUCUGUUGUAUUUGAGAUCGUUUGUGUUGUUUUAUUGAAAAAGGUUCUUUGUGGUGCGAAUUGUUUGUUAUAUCGGGUUUUUCUUUUGUCUGUUUCAGAAAGUUGAAAUUCAAGGUGUUUUGUUUAUGGCCUUAGCGACAUAUAUUUACUAGAUUUAUUCCUGUACAAAUAUUUUAGAAUAAGUUUGAUAUUGCAAUGUAUUAUAAUGAUUACUUCUCCCAUCUUUCAGAGAGCUUGAACGCCAUAUCAUAAAAUAUGCAGACGAACAGACAUCAAGCGCAGACGACAUCUUGGGUUGGGUAAAACGCGCGCAAUUGUUCUUUUUUAUUUCUUUAUUCUUUCUAUUUAGUUAAGUUGCAUUUUUCUCUCUUUUUUUCGAGGAUAUUGAGGCACUUGAAGAAUAAAGACGCAAGCGGCUUUGAAGAUACAGACUUAAGAAAAUAUGAUUUUUGUUUAUCAUGAACAGAGCAUUUGAAUGUGCACACAGACCUUGACUCCGAAGAAAGAAAUACUCAAAUUGUCCGACGAGAGACCCGAACUCUCCGACGAUAGCCGGAACUGUCCGUCGAGGAACACGAACCGUCCGACAAGAAGCGGAUUCCUGGAUCACACACGAAGAAAAUGUUAGUUGAUGGAACUCGAGAGAAUGCAGGACUGUCUUGCUGGUACCCUGACGAUGCUGACCACCAGAGAUGUGGUGUUACCCAAACGGUGGCAGUUGCCAGAAGCUAGGGUUGUUGUACACAACUGAUGCCUGCCGCCAGAUGUGCGCUGGUACCCGGUCGAUGCCGGUCAUCAGAGGUGUGCUGGGACUCAGUCAUACCGGCACUUAUGUUGACAUGACGAUCAAUUUUUUUCAAAGGUAAGCUACUAAUUAACUUUAUAAUUGCAGUUAACAUGGUCCGAGUUCGAGUCGCACUUUGUUUUUUUGUGACGAAUUCACUUCUUUGACAUAACCGUGUUCCUGCCAGAGAGCUAAACUACUGAUUAGAAAGCCAGGAUCAAGGUUCUGAAUCUGGAUAUGCUGAGUUUAUUGACUUAUUUGAAAAUCGUGUAAACUUGGGACUGUUGCUGGUAUGAACUCACAACUGGUUCUGUGACAAUUUCUUUCUGUAUUUUUCCUGAACAUGUUGAGAGAUUUAUCAAGUUAUAUAACAUUGACUGGUAUUUAUAUUAAUGAUAAUUUUGGUACCUACAAUGGAGAACAACAUAUGCAUACGAUUUUAAAGAUUAAAAACGGCCCCAUCA